UUGCCAGCCCGCUCAGAAACUUAAGGAAUUGACGGGGCCCGCACAAGCGGUGGAGCAUGUGGUUAAUUCGAUGAUACGCGAGGAACCUUACCUGGGCUCAAAUGUAUGUUGACGUAUUCUGAAAGGGAUACUUCUUCGGACAAUAUACAAGGUGCUGCAUGGUUGUCGUCAGCUCGUGCCGUGAGGUGUCGGGUUAAGUCCCAUAACGAGCGCAACCCCUAUCAUUAGUUGCCAUCAGGUCAAGCUGGGGACUCUAAUGAAACUGCCUACGCAAGUAGUGAGGAAGGUGGGGAUGACGUCAAAUCAGCACGGCCCUUACGUCCAGGGCUACACACGUGCUACAAUGGCCGGUACAAGGGCAGCUACCUGGUGACAGGAUGCUAAUCUCAAAAGCCGGUCUCAGUUCGGAUCGGAGUCUGCAACUCGACUCCAUGAAGUUGGAAUCGCUAGUAAUCGUGGAUCAGCAUGCCACGGUGAAUACGUUCCCGGGCCUU
rnacentral:rRNA from 1 species